rnacentral:lncRNA from 1 species
AGAGAGAGAAGCGCAUGCUUAUCUUUCCUGUUGGAGUCAAGAGAAUGCCAAAGCGCUUGUCUUUGGUUGGAUCAUGUCCAAUGUAAGUGGUUUCCUCAGUGAUUAAACUGUUCUUCAAAACUGGAAAACAAGAUGAUCUGUUAGUAAAUUAUACUUUGAUUCUCACAAAGCAUCUCAGCUUGGAUUGUGCACAGGGCCAUACAUUCCUGGUUAUAUAUUUGGAAGUAACUGCAUCUGGUGGGAAGGUGAGGGAAAGUUUGUUACUCAGGAUUGUUCAAGUUCACAGCAUUAAAAUCAUGGCUAUUGUUGUUAUUAAAAAUGUUCUGAUACAGUUUUCCAUGGGAUUGUUUCCUGUGAAUGUGAGAAGUAGAGGGCAGUGAAGGCACAAUCUGGUAUCAAAAAAUGAGUUAUUGAUUCAUUUAAAUUGUUCGGCACCAUUUCAUUAAAAAAAAUAUCUUUUUCAAGGACAGUGUAAACUUGGGAUGAGGAACUUCUAGCCAAAUGCAGACCUCUCUAUUUGCCCUUGGGCCCUGCUUCCCACCUUCCUUAACUGGAGUGUGUUUUUGCUUGACUGGAAUGUGUCCUUGGACUCUAAGAAUGCCUCUUGCAGGCUUGGAUGGAUGGAGGACAGGGAAGAAAGUGUGUUUAGAAACUAGCCUACUGUGCAAAGGUAAAAUGCACAUUUGUUGCUCUGCCCUCUUGUUUGUUCAGAUGCAGCACUUCAGCAGAGAAAGUUAAUGUAAUGAGGUUAAAUCUUAUUUUCAGUUUUAAUAGGAUAUAUACCCACUGAAAUCAAUGAUAAGUCAGUUAUUACUUAAUUGAGCACCUUGGAGGAAAGGUGGGAUACAAAUGUAAUAGUUUCAUUUAAGAAUUUUUCUCCAUGGGUCUAAACUGAAUAAAUAAAUCAGUAUUCCUGAUUUAUUUAUUUUUAAGAUGUGGGAAUUGCUUAAUGGAUGUAUAAAUAUCAUUGGAAUUGGUGGGAGAUAAGCAUUGGAAGCAUACUGCUUCUCUUGUUUCCCCCCUCUCUGAUGUUGCCCCUCUUUUGUCUGCUUCUCCCCCCUCCACAAUAAUUGCUAACCGUCCAGUAUGGCAGUACAUGCCCAUAAACAGGUUAGAUAUUUGUUCAAACAUGCAUCAGAUGUUAGACAGGUCUAGUGCCACUUCCAGAAUCUAUGGAUGUAUGUAUAAUCAGUGGGUUUUAUAUAGUAAAUUCUAAACUGAAAACAAAAGAAAAUCUAAUUGUAAUCUAUAGGAUUAGUGGGCAAGAUUUUGGCAUAUUUAACCAUGAGUUAAGGGCAGCGCGGGUGGCACAGGUGGUCUUUAUCUCAGUAAUGGGUAGUACUUUAUUGCACGCUGCUUCAUGUGCACAAGGUCAGCCUGUAGGUAGCUUACCUGAUUCUGAAGAUGUUCAAAUUUUCAACCUAAACAGUGUUAAGUAUUGGCAGCGUAAAUGCUGGCCCUUGUUCUGCCAGCUGGGCUGCUUCUGAUGUAUAUAAACACUGCCUGCGUUUCCGUGACGUGCAGAAUAGCUUUCAUGAAAGCAGAGGACUUUCUCCAUCAUCCUUUAUUCCGAUGUUCCCCUCUCACUAUUGUCUUCAGAAGAGUUAGAGUGCAGAAGUGCAGCUGUUGGGCAGGAUACCUCGCCUGUGGAUUUAAGUUUGUUUUAAUUGGUCCUAAAGCCGCAAAAGGAGGCUGAUUGACACAUGGCAUGUGCUUCCUGGCAAUGAAUGAAAUGCCUCAGAUAAGUGCCAACUUAAGCUCAAAGAAACACUCGGCUUCAUCCAACUGGAAAUGGCUUUCUCAGUCGGGAGGGCUUGAAUUGCAGGAGCUGCUGUGCUACUGGAAUCCUCCCGGACCUGAUCUCCCCAGCACCUGCCUCUGUCCAUCCCCGCCCUCACUUCUGAAAUGUGUUAUCAGUUUAAAGUUGCAGAGAGUUGUGCUGAACCCUCCAUCGACAGAUGAGGCCAAAAUGCUUCCUGGCAGCACUGGCGGGGGGACGACGACACACACAAUAAAAACAAUAUCUUUGUGUCAGUCUUUUUCAGCUCCACAUUCCAGGUAGUCUUCAACCAUGAUGAAUCAUAGAGUUAGAAGAGACCAAGGGUCAUCUAAUCCAACCCUCUGCAAUACAGGAAUCUCAACUAAAGCAUCCAUGGCUGAUGGCCACCCAACCUCUGCUUGAAAACCUCUGAGGAAAGAGUCUGCAACCUCCCGAGGGAUUGACUUAUAUGGACUUAUAUUGUUUUACUGGAAACAGAGAGCUCUCGGUGAAAGCAUUAAUAACUUCCUUAGAUUUAAUUAGCAUAGCUUUCUUGGGUUGCAUUUGACCCCCGAUACCAGAUUGGUAUACU